GGAGCGGUUUGAUGGACUUCCUGGAGGAGGAGGCAUGCCCUGAGCACAAUGGAGUUAAUAAUCCCAGGUCAUUAUAUGAAAAAAAGCCCCUAGCAGAAUGUUUGGCACAUAGUGAGCGCUUAGCAAGUGGUAGCUGUUGUCCCAGGGAGAAGUGCUGAGAGCUGGGUGAAGGCGCGGUUGUGAGGAUGGGCUCCAGGUUAACUGGGCACUGCUGUAUGGAGAGUUUGGGGAGCUGCAGACCUUCUCCAGUGAUGAGGAUGCGAGUAGGGUGGUGGUCAUUCAGUACCCACUUACUAAAGCCCCUUCUGUGCUGGGAACUGCUGGCGGCAUGGAGAGGACUGGCCCUAGGGGCUCCCGGCUUGUGCAGAAGUUGAGAGAAGCAGACCGUGGACAUCCCAUUCUAGCAAGUGAGACCCUAGGAAGGGCUGUCUAUGCUGGGGGCUAGGCAGAAGUGAACAGAGCAGAACCAGGAGAGUGCUGGAGGGGAUGACCUUUGGGUCUCAUGAUGGAGGAGGAAGGAAGAAGCCACAGAGGAAGCAGGAGGCAUAGGACUGAGGCCCGGGCCCCUGAGAGUCCAGAGCAUGAUUGAGGAAGCGGGCAGCUGGGACAGUUUACCCCUGUGGAAUGGAGACAUCAGGGUGGGACACAGAUGUCCCUCCAAGACCUGUGUGACAUCUUGUGGGGAGGUGGUGACUCUAGGAUGGGGUUAGGUCUGGGUCCUCAGUCCUCUGAGGCAGUUCAGUGAAGCACACAUUGAUAUGACCAUAUUGAGUGAUCAGAAUUGUGGGGAGCCCCAGGGAGGCCCCAGAUCAGCCUGAGAUGUGAGGGGAGGCCUGCGAUAGUGGGGAGGAUGGAUGUAUGAUUUGGGCUUUUUAUAGGAGGACUAGGAGUUGGCCAGGCAGGGGAGGGUGUUCCAGGUGGAAGGAACAGAGUAUUAAAGGCCUG
rnacentral:lncRNA from 10 species